rnacentral:rRNA from 1 species
UACGGAGGGUGCGAGCGUUAUCCGGAUUCACUGGGUUUAAAGGGUGCGUAGGUGGGCAGGUAAGUCAGUGGUGAAAUCUCCGGGCUUAACUCGGAAACUGCCAUUGAUACUAUCUUUCUUGAAUACCGUGGAGGUCAGCGGAAUAUGUCAUGUAGCGGUGAAAUGCUUAGAUAUGACAUAGAACACCAAUUGCGAAGGCAGCUGGCUACACGAAUAUUGACACUGAUGCACGAAAGCGUGGGGAUCAAACAGG